CUGGACUAAACAGCUACCAGAACUCUUAAACAUGGUUAGAGUUGUGUUCAUAGCUACUAGGAGGGACUGGGAGAGAGUCUGAGUGAGUGGAGAACAGUAUAAUUUGUACAACAUAGGAGGGAAGCCAGAGAGAAGAAUGAGGAAUAUGAUGUCUGUCAACAUCAGCCUCCUCUGUGCUGUGAUCUGUGUGGUGUCAGGAGUGAUCACAAAGAGAGGGACAGAAGGAGGAAAUGAUAUCAUUCAGUGUCCUUAUGCCCGGGGGUUUGAGACACACCAGAAGUACCUCUCUAAAGGGAUCUGGGCCUACCGGGUUGAUGUGAUCAAAACCCAAACCCAUCAGCACCCAGCGGUGACUCAUAAAGGGAGAUUCUCUCUGUAUGACGACACAGAGAGAAGAGUCUUCACUGUGACCAUCACUAACCUGGUCCUAGAGGAUUCAGGGACCUACUGGUGUGAAAUAAACACAUGGUGGUGGUAUCACAAGACUGAAUUCAGGAUCACUGUGGACAGAGCUACUGUUCCUCCAAACCCUGGCUCCAUCACCUCCAGACCUCUCCUCUCCACGACACACCCAUCAACACACAUCACCAUGACAACUGACUCCUCAAACUCCACAGCAGAUAGGACCAAUGGAACAGUAUCCACAGACAUGACUAGAACACAAGGUAACAACAGCAUCACCACCACAGACAUGACUAGACCACAAGGUAACAACAGCAUCACCACCACAGACAUGACUAGAACACUAGGUAACAACAGCAUCACCACCACAGACAUGACUAGAACACAAGGUAACAACAGCAUCACCACCACAGACAUGACUAGAACACAAGGUAACAACAGCAUCACCACCACAUACAUGACUAGAACACUAGGUAACAACAGCAUCACCACCACAGACAUGACUAGAACACAAGGUAACAACAGCAUCACCACCACAGACAUGACUAGAACACUAGGUAACAGCAGCAUCACCACCACAGACAUGACUAGAACACUAGGUAACAACAGCAUCACCACAGACAUGACUAGAACACAAGGUAACAACAGCAUCACCACCACAGACAUGACUAGAACACAAGGUAACAACAGCAUCACCACCACAGACAUGACUAGAACACUAGGUAACAACAGCAUCACCACAGACAUGACUAGAACACAAGGUAACAACAGAAUCACCACCACAGACAUGGCUAGAACACAAGGUAACAACAGCAUCACCACCACAGACAUGACUAGAACACAAGGUAACAACAGCAUCACCACCACAGACAUGACUAGAACACUAGGUAACAACAGCAUCACCACCACAGACAUGACUAGAACACAAGGUAACAACAGCAUCACCACCACAGACAUGACUAGAACACAAGGUAACAACAGCAUCACGGUAACAUAAUGAACCCUCAGCACCACAUGACCCUGAGAUAUAAACUACAACUACCAAGAAUCAUAUUGUAACAUUUAAAAAAAUACCGUACGGUAACAUGGACUACAACUACCAAGCAUCCUGUCCUCAUAAACUACAAAUAUGAAUCUAAAGAUACACCGCCUUGUGGUGGAAACUAGUCAUGACAUCUUCCACCUCCAGACAGUGAAUAACAUUGAACCACAUUAACAACACAUUGACUUUGCCUGAUACUUGAUAUUAGAUUGAAUGAUCUGACUGUGACUAUUGAUAUCUCAUUGACAUUUCCUCUCUAUGUUCUGCUCUCCUCAACACCACCUGUUUCUCUGUCUAAUGUUGUCUUCCCUCCUCCCUCCGUCUGAAAUGGUAGAAACCCAGAGGUACAGUACAGUAGAGACAAGCUAAAUGUAGCAUCACUGUUACAUUAUGCCUGAGUACUGUCUCUGGGUGUUCUAGGAGAUGUGAAGUUCUCUGGUGUUGUUCUGGGUGUUCUAGGUGUUGUGAUGUUCUCUGGUGUUGUUCUGGGUGUUCUAGGUGUUGUGAUGUUCUCUGGUGUUGUUCUGGGUGUUGUUCUACUACUGCUGGGUCUGCUGCUGUUCAUGUUCUUCAUACAGAGGAGAGACAGAGACAGGAGACCAACAGCAUCCAAACACUCUGCC